ACCACCAGUAAAAUUGCAAUGUGCACAGUUUUUCUGAAGAAUAAAAAUGUUCAAGUGAUGUUUCAUCACAGAUAGCUUGUGGAUUUUGAGUGGCAAUCAAUGUCUUUCUUCUUGUGUGCCUGCUUUUUCUAUAGUUUCAGUCUGAUAGCAAGAGCUGGUUCACAAAGGCAUGUUCCUCGCUGGAUGACAGUACAUGUGUGAAUAAGACAUCCUAGAUAUAACUCCACAGGGAGUGUUUUAAUAUUUUCACAGGUGCUACUUUUUAAAAUGUUCUUCAUUGUAAAAUGGGGGAUAAGCAGUUGUUUCUGAACUGUAAUAGCUGGGGUGGAAAUGUAUUGGACAGUAACUCCUCAUAUAUUGUCUAGUCACCGAUAAAAUGAGGGUUUGAUUAUUGUAUAAAAAGGCAUUGCCGUGAGAAAGUGAAAAUGAUCUGCUUCAUCACUUCAAUAAACUGUCCAUAGGGAAAUGCAUUUAUCCCACUUGUAGGGAAACCUUACUUCCAUUUGUUCAUUGAACUAGAAUGUUGAAAUAAUGAUUGUUUUCCUGAUUAUGUAAAUGUACAACAAAAACAAAAACCCAUCACUUCCUUAAUUUUUGGUAAAUAUCCAUGGACUCAUAAGAUGACAUGGAUAAGAAAAAAAGCGGGUGGGGACUAUCAAACCAGCUCACCUGAAUCUAAAACCAACACACCAUGUGGCAGACAGAAUUCCUCCCAUAGGACCCAAUAUAACUUCAGCAAAUGCACUUUAUUGUAUUUAGGGGAUAGUUGUGGAAAGGGAAACAUUUUAAGUUGUCAGUUCUUUCAUAAAUGUCUUGUACGUGCUUAGGCCUGCAGCUUUAGCUUUAAGGUCCAAGGGCAGAACAUGUGCAUGCUUCUGUAAAAAUUGUUUCAAUUUCUAGGUAAGGAGAUCUACUCAAAGCCACAUUAUUGCAUUUCUGUCAAUUAGCACUGAGGUGGAACACAAGAUAAACAUUGACUAUUUUAAAAUGCAUAAACAGAGGGGGAAAGAAAGUGAAAGGGGGAAGCAUGAUUUUAGGUCUACUACAGGGUAAAUAUCUGUCCUUAUAUUUCUUCUCUGUAAUAGUAUGGAACCUUCUUAUUAAACAAGGAUAAUAAUGAAAACUGAAUAGAAAACUAUUUGCAUCAGCCAAUCUUGUGGCGCAAUGGGUCAGCGCAUCUGGCUGUUAACCAGAAGGUUAUUGGUUCAAGCCCACCCAGGGACAGCUGUGGGCAGGCUUCCUGCAUUUCAGGGACUUGGACUAGAUGACCCUUUAGAUUUCCUCCAACUCUAGAAUCCUAUGGUUCUAUCAUCUUUCAUGUAAAUAAGUGGUGCUCUGAAUUUGACCCGGUGUAUAGAACUGAAUAAAGUAACAUUUAAUAUGUUUCUACCACAUGCAGUGCCGUGGCAUUUGCCUAAAAGAAAAAAUGGAAGUGUCAUGUCCAGAUGAAACAUCCCUAGUGGAUCUUGAAAUGUCCAGAAGAGACAUCUGUUGUGGAAUUUCAAAGGCGGUUCAAAGUCUUUGAUUACUGACACUUCUCAGGAAGGUCCACAGGGUAUCCUACGAGAAGCUAACUAUCCCCUUUGCCUGCUUCAGUUCUUUGAACAUGAAAGACACUGCCUGGGUGGUGGAGGUGUAAAAUAAAAUUCUGACUGGAUUGUUUCUGGUCCAGGGUGUGGGGUGCAUAGCACCCUUGGAACAGGUAUGGCAAUUGCUCCCAAAAGUAAAAGCUUGGAUUUUUCAAAUUAUUUAAAAACUAUAAAUUAUGCCUGAGACAUUAUGCUGCUCUGGGUUACAUGUUCAAGCUAUAAGAACAGGAAGAAUAUGUUGUGCUUUGUAACAUAGCACUUGGAUUCCUAGUAUUUUUAGGGGAAGCAGUUUCAAUUUAUAUAUUUUCCUUAAAUGAUGGCUUUGUUUAGGAUUGACUUUUGUAGUUCCACAGACUUUUCCAAAGGAUUGUUUGUUUUAUUUGGAAGUCAUCCAUGUAAAAAAAGGGCAGGGGCAUCCAUUCCAUGUCUAAAGAGCUAGUAAGCUGCUGUGAAUUACAUGGUUCACAGACUGUUUAGAGCUAGCUGAAUCUGGAGCAAAAUCUGGUGCACCGCCUUCUGGCAACUCCUGCAGCUAAGCUGGUGCCAAACAUACAGCUCUGCUUUUCUUUGGACCACAUCAGUGAGGCCAAGAGCAGGGUCUUAUCAUCUGGGCAGCCCAGGUCCUCCAUAAACACUGCCCUAGGGAGGUCACUUCGGUGCUGCUAACACAACUGUUUGACUUCACCGCAGAGUUACACUCCAUCGUCUCUCAAGACAGAUGGAUGCAAAUGACAAUUAACCAUUUGGGAGGGAGGGACUAUGUCAUCAUUAUAACUGCUGCAACAGAAGUAAUGUAUAACCAUAUAUUGAUCAUCUACCACAGCUACUUCAUAAUCAGUGGCAGAGCUGCAUGCUCUGGCACCCGGGAGCGGAGAGCAGGCAGGGGUGUGGCUGGUGCUUGUCCCGGGGGCGUGGCGCACUGCCCACGGGGGCAUGGCGACGGCGCAGUGCGUGUUGCGGGGCAGCCGCAAUGGUACCCCCCUCCCCAAUGGUGCUGGGGGCGGUGCCUUCCACCAGUGUUCAUAAUACAGUGGUACCUGGGUUUAAGAACAGUCCAGUUUAAGAACUAUUUGGUUUACAAAUUCUGCAAAACUGGAAAUAGUGUCUUGGUUUGAGAACUUUACCUCGAUCUAAGAAUGGAAUCUGAACAGUGGAAGGGCACCAGCGGUGGGAGGCCUCAUUAGGGAAAGCACACCUCAAUUUAAGAACGGACUUGGUUUAAGAACAGACUGCCGGAACGGAUUGCGUUUGUAAACCGAGGUACAACUGUAUUCCAAGAAGCCAUUUUCAUCAGACAAUAUCAAAGCAGCCAGAGCUGGCUCAGCCAUUAGGCAGGGUAAGGCCACUGCUUCAGGCUGCAAAAUCGCCUCAGGCAGCACACUUAUGAUGCUGCACCUGCUCUGCUGCCUCCACCAGCGGCAGAGAUACACCACUGGUUUUGGGAAGAUCACAUCAAUUUGGGUAAGAUCUCAGCUGAAAUAGCACCAGAGUGCAUGAGAUCUCAUGGGAUUUUGUGCAAAAUCUCACCCAAAAUUGGUGCCCAUGGCAUCUUCUCCACCAGUGGUGGAUGCAGAAGGGCAGUAGCAGAGCAGGCAGCAGCAACAGCAGGUAGGUAGGUAGGUAGGUAGUGGUGGAGGCAGCAGAGGCAGCAGGGCAAAGCAGCACUUUCUAUUUCACUUAAGUGGCAAAAUGGGAUGCACUACCUUUGAUAGCGGCUGUGUCAUUUGUGAAGUGAAGCCUUUUUAAAAGGUAGGUCUGCAAACUAGACGAUGCCAGAAAGAGAUUAAGCAAUGUAUUUUGAUUUGGCAGAGCAGCGCACUGAGUCCUUCUUGGUUACUUGCUGUAUAAUGGAAUAAUAUAUGCCUCAAAUCAUGCUAUUUGUCCAUUUAGCACAGUAUUAUCUACACUGGCAGUGGUUUUUCAGGGUCUCAAGCCUUUCACAUCAUCUACUAUCUGGUCCUUUUAACUGGAGAUGCUGUGGACUGUACCCAGAACAUUCAGCACACAAAACAUGUGCUUAUCACAUACUUGUUUUUCUUUGUGGUGGAGAAGAAAUGAAGUAUCCAAUGCUUAAAUAUAGAUUAUUGUUAAUUCCCAGUAAAAGCAAUGAAUUUAGGACUGUAUAUCCCGAAAGAGCAUAAAAGGAUUUGUUAUGGAAUUUUGCAACAAAAAGAGUGGAGGGUCUUACGCUCUCUUCUUCUGCUUCUCGAUCUUUAAAACAAAUUUGGACAGGGCAGCCCUUCACAUAGAGGGCUCCUUCAGAUAGAGGACUGCCAUCUAUAAAGUAGAGCAGGUGGCCACCCUAACAUCAUUAUGUGUAUACUGUGCCACCUUAGCAGCUCAGUGGGGCUGCUAUCUGGAGCUGGUUUUACAAAGAACAUAUAUAC
rnacentral:tRNA from 1 species